CAUGCAAGUCGAACGAAGCGCUUAAAUGGAUUUCUUCGGAUUGAAGUUUUUGUGACUGAGUGGCGGACGGGUGAGUAACGCGUGGGUAACCUGCCUCAUACAGGGGGAUAACAGUUAGAAAUGACUGCUAAUACCGCAUAAGCGCACAGUGCUGCAUGGCACAGUGUGAAAAACUCCGGUGGUAUGAGAUGGACCCGCGUCUGAUUAGCUGGUUGGUGGGGUAACGGCCUACCAAGGCGACGAUCAGUAGCCGGCCUGAGAGGGUGAACGGCCACAUUGGGACUGAGACACGGCCCAAACUCCUACGGGAGGCAGCAGUGGGGAAUAUUGCACAAUGGGGGAAACCCUGAUGCAGCGACGCCGCGUGAGCGAAGAAGUAUUUCGGUAUGUAAAGCUCUAUCAGCAGGGAAGAAAAUGACGGUACCUGACUAAGAAGCACCGGCUAAAUACGUGCCAGCAGCCGCGGUAAUACGUAUGGUGCAAGCGUUAUCCGGAUUUACUGGGUGUAAAGGGAGCGUAGACGGUUGUGUAAGUCUGAUGUGAAAGCCCGGGGCUCAACCCCGGGACUGCAUUGGAAACUAUGUAACUAGAGUGUCGGAGAGGUAAGCGGAAUUCCUAGUGUAGCGGUGAAAUGCGUAGAUAUUAGGGGGAACACCAGUGGCGAAGGCGGCUUACUGGACGAUCACUGACGUUGAGGCUCGAAAGCGUGGGGAGCAAACAGGAUUAGAUACCCUGGUAGUCCACGCCGUAAACGAUGACUACUAGGUGUCGGGGAGCAAAGCUCUUCGGUGCCGCAGCAAACGCAAUA
rnacentral:rRNA from 1 species